rnacentral:tRNA from 1 species
CCGCCGGUAGCGUAGUGGUUAUCGUACCAGCCCAGUAUUCUGGAGGUCGUGGGUUCGGAUCCCACCCGGCGGG